rnacentral:rRNA from 1 species
GAUGAACGCUGGCGGCGUGCUUAACACAUGCAAGUCGAACGGUGAAGCCCAGCUUGCUGGGUGGAUCAGUGGCGAACGGGUGAGUAACACGUGAGCAACCUGCCCCGGACUCUGGGAUAAGCGCUGGAAACGGCGUCUAAUACUGGAUAUGAGCUGCGAAGGCAUCUUCAGCAGUUGGAAAGAUUUUUUGGUCUGGGAUGGGCUCGCGGCCUAUCAGCUUGUUGGUGAGGUAACGGCUCACCAAGGCGUCGACGGGUAGCCGGCCUGAGAGGGGGAACAGCCACAAGGGGACUGAGAGACGGUCCAGACUGCUACGGGAGGAAGCAGUGGGGAAUAUUGCACAAUGGGCGCAAGCGUGAUGCAGAGACGCCGCGUGAGGGAUGACGGCCUUCGGGUUGUAAACCUCUUUUAGCAAGGAAGAAGCGAAAGUGACGGUACUUGCAGAAAAAGCGCCGGCUAACUACGUGCCAGCCGCCGCAGUAACAC